GGCAGAAUGGCCGAGCGGUCUAUGGCGUGUGACUCAAGUUCAGCUUAUGUGAUCAUCACAUAAUCAGACUUGCCCGAUCCGGGUUUCUCAUCAUCGUAUGAUGGCAGGGGUUCGAAUCCCCUUUCUGUCA